rnacentral:rRNA from 1 species
AGGGAAUCUUCCGCAAUGGACGCAAGUCUGACGGAGCAACGCCGCGUGAGUGAGGAAGGUCUUCGGAUCGUAAAACUCUGUUGUUAGAGAAGAACACGUACCGUUUGAAUAAGGCGGUACCUUGACGGUAUCUAACGAGAAAGCCCCGGCUAACUACGUGCCAGCAGCCGCGGUAAUACGUAGGGGGCAAGCGUUGUCCGGAACUAUUGGGCGUAAAGCGCGCGCAGGCGGUCUCUUAAGUCUGAUGUGAAAGCCCACGGCUCAACCGUGGAGGGUCAUUGGAAACUGGGAGACUUGAGUGUAGGAGAGGAAAGUGGAAUUCCACGUGUAGCGGUGAAAUGCGUAGAGAUGUGGAGGAAUACCAGUGGCGAAGGCGACUUUCUGGCCUAUAACUGACGCUGAGGCGCGAAAGCGUGGGGAGCAAAC